GACGAACGCUGGCGGCGCGCCUAACACAUGCAAGUCGAACGAGAGGGGAAGAGCUUGCUUUUCCGAUCGAGUGGCGAACGGGUGAGUAACGCGUGAGGAACCUGCCCCAAAGAGGGGGACAACAGUUGGAAACGACUGCUAAUACCGCAUAAGCCCACGGCUCGGCAUCGAGCAGAGGGAAAAGGAGCAAUCCGCGUUGAGAUGGCCUCGCGUCCGAUUAGCUAGUUGGUGAGGUAACGGCCCACCAAGGCGACGAUCGGUAGCCGGACUGAGAGGUUGAGCGGCCACAUUGGGACUGAGACACGGCCCAGACUCCUACGGGAGGCAGCAGUGGGGAAUAUUGCACAAUGGGGGAAACCCUGAUGCAGCGACGCCGCGUGGAGGAAGAAGGUCUUCGGAUUGUAAACUCCUGUUGUUGAGGAAGAUAAUGACGGUACUCAACAAGGAAGUGACGGCUAACUACGUGCCAGCAGCCGCGGUAA
rnacentral:rRNA from 1 species